GAUCAUGGCUCAGGAUGAACGCUAGCUACAGGCUUAACACAUGCAAGUCGAGGGGCAGCAUGGUCUUUAGCUUGCUAAGGCCGAUGGCGACCGGCGCACGGGUGAGUAACACGUAUCCAACCUGCCGGUCUACUCUUGAACAGCCUUCUGAAAGGAAGAUUAAUACAAGAUGGCAUCAUGAGUUCACAUGUUCACAUGAUUAAAGGUAUUCCGGUGGACGAUGGGGA
rnacentral:rRNA from 1 species